UUCUUAUCAAGAGAAACUAAGGGGCUGGCCCGAUAAAGUUUCAGCAACCCGUAUGUUUUAUUUACAUGCAAAGUGCUAAAUUCUGCAGAUAUAUUUCUGAAAGAUGAGGG
rnacentral:ncRNA from 2 species